GCCUGGGUGGCUCAGUCGGUUAAGCAUCCGACUUCGGCUCAGGUCAUGAUCUCAUGGUUUGUGGGUUCGAGCCCCAUAUCGGGCU
rfam:Felis catus isolate Cinnamon breed Abyssinian chromosome D2, whole genome shotgun sequence.